CAGUAGCCACGGGAAUACGAAGGGGGCUAGCGUUGUUCGGAAUUACUGGGCGUAAAGCGCACGUAGGCGGACAUUUAAGUCAGGGGUGAAAUCCCGGGGCUCAACCCCGGAACUGCCUUUGAUACUGGGUGUCUAGAGUAUGGAAGAGGUGAGUGGAAUUCCGAGUGUAGAGGUGAAAUUCGUAGAUAUUCGGAGGAACACCAGUGGCGAAGGCGGCUCACUGGUCCAUUACUGACGCUGAGGUGCGAAAGCGUGGGGAGCAAACAGGAUUAGAUACCCGUGUAGUCCCUGUCUCUUAUAC
rnacentral:rRNA from 1 species